rnacentral:rRNA from 1 species
CGCCGCGGUUAUACGAGCGGGCCCAAACUGAUAGAACGCGGCGUAGAAGGUGGUUAAUAGAAACGUUACUAAAGCCAAACACCUUUAUAGCUGUUAUAAGCUAAUGAAGAAAGGAAGCCCCCUCACGAAAGUAGCUUUAAAACUUAUGAACCCACGAAAGCUAGGGUA